CAGGCGUCUAAGGUAGGUUUCCACUACGUUACCUUACUGAUGAGUCCAGUAGUGGAAGCCGGGACGAAACGCCAA
rnacentral:hammerhead_ribozyme from 15 species